GCGCCGUUAGCUCAGCUGGUAGAGCAACAGCCUUUUAAGCUGAUGGUCACUGGUUCGAAUCCAGUACGGCGCACCA
rnacentral:tRNA from 1 species